UUGGGGAUUUAGCUCAGUGGUAGAGUGCUUGCCUAGGAAGCGCAAGGCCCUGGGUUCGGUCCCCAGCUCAAAA
rnacentral:tRNA from 1 species